rnacentral:rRNA from 1 species
GUGAGGUAACCUUUUAGGAGCCAGCCGCCUAAGGUCGGAUAGAUGAUUGGGGUGAAGUCGUAACAAGGUAGCCGUAUCGGAAGGUGCGGCUGGAUCACCUCCUUU